AGCGAACGCUGGCGGCGUGCUUAACACAUGCAAGUCGAGGGAGAACGGCGGGCUUCGGCCUUCCUAGUAAACCGGCGCACGGGUGAGUAACACGUAGGUAACCUACCUUCGAGACUGGGAUAACCCAUCGAAAGAUGAGCUAAUACCAGAUAUGACCACGGGAGUUUCGGCUUCUGCGGUGAAAGAUGGCCUCUGCUUGCAAGCUAUCACUCAAAGAUGGGCCUGCGCGCCAUUAGCUAGUUGGUGGGGUAACGGCCACCAAGGCUACGAUGGCUAGUUGGUCUGAGAGGAUGACCAGCCACACUGGGACUGAGACACGGCCCAGACUCCUACGGGA
rnacentral:rRNA from 1 species